rnacentral:lncRNA from 1 species
GGCCGCCGGAGGCCGGUCAUAUGACUGAGCCGGCCCGCCGCCGCCGCCGCCGCCGCCGCCUCGCGCGCUGACAGUUAUCUCCUGCGGGAGGAGCCCGCAGCCCCACGGCGGCCGCGGCGGCGGCGGCGGCGGCGGCGCGGGAGGAGCGCGGCCGCCCGGGCGGCGGCCAUUGGCCCGGCGGCCGCCCGCCCCGGGCUCACGUAACCCCGGCGGGAGGCGCGGCCCGGAGCGCGCGGCCCGCGGGGGGCGGGGGCGGGGCGGGGGGGCGGGGCGGGCGCGGCGCUUAAAGGGGCCGGGGGCGCGGGGGCGGGGCCGGGGGGUGCGGGGGGCGGGGCCGGGGGCGGGGCGGGCGCGGCGCUUAAAGGGGCCGUGAGGGCGCGCGGGGCGGGGCGGGCGCGGCGCUUAAAGGGGCAGGGGGCGCGCGGGGCGGGGCGGGCGGCUCGGGCUGCGGGCGGCGGGGCUGCAGCGGUCGCCGCGGCCCUUCGGCAGUGAGCGAGCGAGCGGCUGCGCCGAUCUUUGUUCUUGUUGAGACAAAGCCCCUGGACUUGGGUCCCCGGUUCGUGCAGUCGGAUUAUUCGCUCUCCAGCAUCUUGGGUCACUACACCAGAGUUCUAUAAAAAGUUGCCUGUGAAAUUAAAACAACAACAACAACAACACAUGGAAUCCACUGCAUAGGUUCAAAAAAUAAGAGGAGCUGGUUUGUAACGGAAUGCUGUCUUCAUGCGCGCUCAGCCAUCGAGGCACAGAAUAAGCUGCGUCCGCAGCAGAUUUCUACGAUUAAAACGGUGGAUUGAGUGUUCAGGCCAGCAGGCAGUCCUUGUUUCAUGCAAUGGAGUGGACACAGUCCCCUGAUUUGCAGCUUUGAUCAGUCUACCCCAUGGGACUACCAGUAUUGGCCAGAAUCCUAUGUGACAGGUCCUUCUCUCAGCCCCUUCUGAAUUUACUUGCCUCCCGUGAGCUGCUACUUUUUCAAGACUCAGUAAGAAGACACGUUCAUGCAACCCUCUGGCUGCUGAAUACUUACCAAGCCUGCAUUUCCUGUUCUUCCCAUCCCCAAUUAAAUACUUAUUCUUUGAACUACAUUUCUCAAUUAUUUUCCAGUCAAGGUGUAAAUGAGAGCUAAAUAUCACUACAUUUUAUUUUCGGGAAAAAAAGUUAAACCAUAUUACAUCAGUGUAAAGAACAUAAAUCAUAUGAAAUCUAAGUAUCCUAACAAAGUGGCACCUCUUCCUAAUAACCAGAGAUAUUUACAUCACUCUGAUAUCCUUGAACUAAUAUUUCUAAUUUAAUUCUCCCAUAACAUUUUUUUAAAGAUUUAUUUAUUUAUUUUGGAGACAGAGAGUGAGCCAGGGGAGGGUCAAAGGGAGAAAGAGAAUCUCAAGCAGACUCCCUAUUGAGCUUGGAGCCCAAUGGGGACCCUGAGAUCAGGAGCUAAGCCAAAACCAAGAGUCAGUGGCUCAGCUGACUGAGCCACCCAGUGCCCCAUCCCAUGUGGUUUUAUCUUAAUGUAAAACUUUAAAAUAUAGAUAUAUUUAUUUAUUUACUUGGGAGGGAGAGAGCAUGAGUGGGGAGGGGAGCAGAGGGAGAGAGAGAAGCAGACUCCCCGCUGAGCAGAGAGCCUGAUGCGAGGCUCAAUCCCAGGACCCCGGGAUUAUGACACGAGCCAAAGACAGACGCUCAACCAAUUGAACCACGCAGGCACCCCUGUAUAACUUUUAUACCUAAAAAUCUUUGAUUACUCACUUGUCAUACUCAGUAAAAAAAAAAAAAAAAAAAAUUAUAUAUAUAUAUAUAAUAUCCUGGGUUAAUUAAUGUUCUAAAUAUGAAAAUACUCUGUCAGUUUAAUUAUUAGUAGUAUGAAAUUUAUCAAUAUAACAAAUGCAUAAUUCUUUUUUUUUAACAUUUUAUAUAUUUAUUUAUUUGAGAGAGAGACAGAGAGAGAGAGCACAAAAGGGGAGGCAGUGGGGGGGGAGGGGCAGAGGGAGAAGCAGACUCCCUGCCAAGCGCUGAGCCUGACUGGGAUCCUAUCCCAGACCCUGAGACCAUGACCUGAGCCAAAGUCAGAUGCUCAACUGACUGAACCACCCAGGCACCCCAACAAAUUUGUAAUUCUUAAACAAAAAAUUUAAUUGUGUUGUAAAUGCAUUUCUCAAUGACAGAUGGAGCUAGAUUCAAUUUUAUUCACUCUUAUGGAUAAACAUUAC